GCGACCCCAGGUCAGGCGGGACUACCCGCUGAGUUUAAGCAUAUCAAUAGCGGAGGAA
rnacentral:rRNA from 1 species